rnacentral:sRNA from 1 species
AUUCUGCCCAAGCGGGGAAGGGUGAGAACCUUCGACUAAGGUUCGAUUCGAGCGAAAGCGAGAGAACGUUGCCACAGGCAACGGCCCGAAGGGUGAGGAGCGAAGCGACGAAUAAUCCUUCCCCCACCACCA